rnacentral:tRNA from 1 species
ACCUGGGUGGCUUAGCGAGUUAAGCAUCUGACUUCGGCUCAGAUCAUGAUCUCACGGUUUGUGAGUUCAAGUCUGACAUGAGGUG